GAUGAACGCUGGCGGCGUGCCUAAUACAUGCAAGUCGAGCGAACAGACGAGGAGCUUGCUCCUUCGACGUUAGCGGCGGACGGGUGAGUAACACGUAGGUAACCUACCUAUAAGACUGGGAUAACUUCGGGAAACCGGAGCUAAUACCGGAUAAUAUUUCGAACCGCAUGGUUCGAUAGUGAAAGAUGGCUUUGCUAUCACUUAUAGAUGGACCUGCGCCGUAUUAGCUAGUUGGUAAGGUAACGGCUUACCAAGGCAACGAUACGUAGCCGAACUGAGAGGGUGAUCGGCCACACGGGAACUGAGACACGGUCCAGACUCCUACGGGAGGCAGCAGUAGGGAAUCUUCCGCAAUGAGCGAAAGCCUGACGGAGCAACGCCGCGUGAGUGAUGAAGGUCUUCGGAGCGUAAAACUCGGUUAUUAGGGAAGAACAAACGUGUAAGUAACUGUGCACGUCUUGACGGUACCUAAUCAGAAAGCCACGGCUAACUACGUG
rnacentral:rRNA from 1 species